GGGUUGACUUUUCAAUUUAGCAAUAAAACAUAUUUUUCAAAAACACAUGCAACAAUUAUCGCAUCAUUACAAAUUUCAAUUCAAGUUUAAACGUGCUUUUUUGUUUUUGUUUUUUGUAGUCUUACCCUACUGCACGCUAGAAGCAGAAGGUGUAAAAACCUUCGAUGACACUAUAAGACAGACAUUAAGUUAAAACAUUGUGACGCUUGAAAUGGAAAGGUGCUAACUUUAAACGACAUUAUGUUUGCCCCAGGCACUGGUUGUGGAGAUCACGCUGACCCUCGCGAUAGAGUUAACUAUCUGGAUGAAAAGAACAGAGAUUUCAGAUUUUCCUGGAUUUCUAAUCAUGAGUUCAAUGCAAUAUACAAACAAGUCAAGCGUGAGAGACAACGCAAGAAGGAGGCCAAAGCAUGGGAAAAGUUCAUCGCUAAAAAACAAGCAAAACAACAAAAUAAUGUUAGGCAUAUCAGAAUGUAUGAUCCUUAUCGACCACACCCAAAGACAGCAAUAGGUACUCAAACGGAAACGCACUGCCGUCCAAAAAAUUACAAUAAGUGUAAAUUCACUCCACCAAAAAUGAAAGCACGAGCAAUCAUCCCAAACAACAAACCUCAAUUGGAAGAUAAAAACACAGUUGAAACAGUUGAUAAGCAAAGCCCUCCUAAGAAAAACGAAAGCUGUGUGAAGGAAGAGUGUCUGACACAGAAAGAAAAAGAUGAAAAAAUGUCUGCAAGCAUCGACAUGAAAAUGCUGUCAAAAAAGCUUGAGGAUCUAAGAAGGAAAAUUGUUCUCACUAUAAGGGGAGUAGAUCAGGCAUUGAGUGAAGAUCCCAUGGAUUUAAGCCGAGAAGAAGUUGAUAUUUUAAGAAGCAAAAAAAGAAAUUCAGCUUUUACUUCCAGGUUCAAAGGGAACUAUCUCUAUCAGAUGGCUUGCCAAAUAAAUGACAUCAAAAAAAUUAUUAGCAAUGAAACCGUAUUGAAAUCAAAGCCUAUUGUGCUAGUUCAAAAAUUUGUAUCAGCUCACCAAAUCAUUCUUCAAGCUAUGCAAGCUUUAGAGAAACAUUUGAUAGCGUAUUGCUCUAGUGAAGAGUCCUUCAGCUGGCUGACGGGAUUUUUACAAUCUGUCUGUGAAGUGUCAGACCUGCUGCCCAACUUUGAUGAAACCAUUCCUAAAAGGACAGAUGACCAUAAUGAUGUCAAGAUGGUUUGUAAACAUUUAAUAGAGAAGAUAGAAAAGUUGAAUGUUAAAAGGGUGGCUGUGACGAAGAAAAAACAAACUUUGAAAAAAAUCAAAUCCGGCAACACACCACAGGACUCUUUAUGGAUGUACAGGGCCAACCAUAUGUCCUGGAAAGAAAAAGUGUCAGACAUGACAAAGCGCAAAAACAGAAAAAGCCUUAACUGCUCUGCCAGCAGUGAAAAAAAUGCAGAACAUAUACCAAAAAUGCCAAAUGAAAUUCCUGAGCUGAGGAAGAAAGAAAUGCUUGAUAAAGAAGAAAUGGGCAUAUUUCCUGAAGAAUCUGAGGUUGAGGAUGAAGAAGCUAAAGAAAGCACUGUCAUAAUCCAAAUGGAGGCUGUUAAGCCCGUAAGCCAUGAAUAUCAACUUUUUAACUCAAAAUUAAAGAAAUAUUAACAAUAACUUUUGAUGAUUUAGAAGAUUGAGCCUAAGAUGAUUACAGAAAAGCCUUUAGAUUCUAAUAAAAUUGUUAAAAUACAACCUCAACAGCCAAAGAAAGAGGUGUUGAUAGUGGAAAGUGAGUGUCCUGCUAAUGUGAAGGUGUUGUACAUUAACUGUGAAGAUGACCAGCAUUUAAAAAAAG
rnacentral:misc_RNA from 1 species